rnacentral:rRNA from 1 species
GUGGGGAAUUUUGGACAAUGGGCGCAAGCCUGAUCCAGCAAUGCCGCGUGCAGGAAGAAGGCCUUCGGGUUGUAAACUGCUUUUGUACGGAACGAAACGGUCCGGGUUAAUACCCUGGGCUAAUGACGGUACCGUAAGAAUAAGCACCGGCUAACUACGUGCCAGCAGCCGCGGUAAUACGUAGGGUGCAAGCGUUAAUCGGAAUUACUGGGCGUAAAGCGUGCGCAGGCGGUUUUGUAAGACAGUGGUGAAAUCCCCGGGCUCAACCUGGGAACUGCCAUUGUGACUGCAAGGCUAGAGUGCGGCAGAGGGGGAUGGAAUUCCGCGUGUAGCAGUGAAAUGCGUAGAUAUGCGGAGGAACACCGAUGGCGAAGGCAAUCCCCUGGGCCUGCACUGACGCUCAUGCACGAAAGCGUGGGGAGCAAACAGGAUUAGAAACCCCUGUAGUCC